UUAAAAAGAAAGGAUUUGAACCUUACCUAAGGAGAUCAAAACUCCUCGUGCAUCCUCCACACCACUUUCUA
rnacentral:tRNA from 1 species